AUGAACGCUAGCGGGAGGCUUAAUACAUGCAAGUCGAGCGGGAUUCUCCUUCGGGAGAUGAGAGCGGCGCACGGGUGAGUAACGCGUACGUAACCUGCCUUACAGAGGGGGAUAGCCCGGAGAAAUCUGGAUUAAUACCCCAUGGCACAUAUUGAUGGCAUCUGAGAUAUGUUAAAGAUUUAUUGGUAUAAGAUGGGCAUGCGUCUGAUUAGCUAGUUGGUAGGGUAAAGGCCUACCAAGGCGACGAUCUGUAGCGGGUCUGAGAGGAUGAUCCGCCACACUGGGACUGAGACACGGCCCAGACUCCUACGGGAGGCAGCAGUGGGGAAUCUUGGACAAUGGGCGCAAGCCUGAUCCAGCCAUGCCGCGUGAGUGAAGAAGGCCUUCGGGUUGUAAAGCUCUUUCGGCGGGGAAGAAAUGGCGCUUUCUAAUACAGGGCGUUGAUGACGGUACCCGCAUAAGAAGCACCGGCUAACUACGUG
rnacentral:rRNA from 1 species